rnacentral:misc_RNA from 1 species
GCAAACUUGGUCAUUUAGAGGAAGUAAAAGUCGUAACAAGGUUUCCGUAGGUGAACCUGCGGAAGGAUCAUUAUCAAAACAGCGGACUUCGGUCCUUGCUGCACCCUUGUCUUUUGCGUACCGUAUGUUUCCUCGGCGGGCUUGCCUGCCGGUUGGACAUUAUCAAACCUUUUUGUAGUUGCAAUCAGCGUCAGAAAAUAAACAAUAAUUACAACUUUCAACAACGGAUCUCUUGGUUCUGGCAUCGAUGAAGAACGCAGC